CGCGUGGCCAUCAUCUACAAUUCUUCAGAUCUUCUCCUCCUUAACAAAACGAAAUCGAUCCUCUCAAAAAUGCCGAUCUUCAAAAACCCUACCCCUAAAUCCAAACUCACCAUCCCCAAAUCCGGAUCCAAAUCCCUCCUCCUCUCGAUCUCCACCAUCUCCAUCGUCCUCCUCCUCCUCCUCUUCUCCUCCUCUUCAAUCCCCACGUCUCGAUUCUCGAUCUCAAGCGAUCUCGCCAUGAGUUCUAUAGGAAUCGAGCAGAAGAACGAUGAGACGUUGAAGUGGAAGGGGAAGAAGUUCUUGUAUUGGGGGAAUCGGAUCGAUUGCCCUGGUAAGCAUUGCGAUUCUUGCGCGGGGUUAGGGCAUCAGGAGUCUAGCUUGCGGUGCGCUCUCGAGGAGGCCUUGUUUCUCAAUAGGGUCUUUGUGAUGCCAUCAAGAAUGUGCAUCAACCCAAUACACAAUAAGAAGGGAAUUCUCCAUCACUCAACUGACGGAAGUUCAGAUGAAGGAUGGGCUGCAAGUUCUUGUACGAUGGACUCUUUGUAUGACAUGGAUCUCAUUUCUGAAACCAUACCUGUAAUUCUGGACAAUUCGAAGACAUGGCAUCGAGUAAUAUCAACAAGUAUGAAGUUAGGAAAGAUGGGGGUGGCACACGUGCAAGGUUUCAGCAAAGUCGACCUGAAAGACAGUAGUCUCUACUCAAAUGUUUUAUUAAUAAACCGCACUGCAAGUCCUCUAUCCUGGUUUAUGGAAUGCAAGGAUCGGAACAAUCACAGUUCAGUUUUGCUCCCAUAUUCAUUCCUCCCAUCAAUGGCAGCCAAAGAGCUAAGAGUUGCAGCAGAUAAGAUUAAAGAACUUCUUGGUGAUUAUGAUGCCAUACAUGUACGCCGUGGGGAUAUUUUAAAGACGAGGAAAGAUAGACAUGGUGUUGAAAGGACUCUUCAUCCUCAUCUGGACAGAGAUACACGACCUGAAUUUAUUCAACUGAGAAUAGCAAAAUGGAUUCCGCCAGGACGUACUCUUUUCAUUGCUUCAAAUGAGAGAUCACCUGGCUUCUUUUCGCCUCUAUCUGCCAGGAUGGUGGGGACACAUUCUAUCAGUUCCUUAAAUACCCACUCUAGCUCCACAGCGUCAGUAGAUAGUACAUGGGAGCCAACCUAAAAAACUGAGAAUAUUAUUUUGAUGAUACAGACCCGGAAGAGAUCUUGGCUGACCAUGCAACGCCAGACUCCUACGAUGUCGAGAUAGUAAAGGUCAUUGCAUUAGAUUCUUCUGAGUCCGAGACUGAUCCCUCGGGUGAUGAUGAAUCAGCUGAAAAUUUUAUCGCUGUGGAGCCCUUACCCUCUGAGGUCAUCAUGAUUGCAUCAGACUCCUCCAGCAUUGAGUCUUAUAUGACUGGGGCCUUCAAUAAUGAAGAGGAAUUCGCCUUAUUUGAGAGCGAGUCAGGUAUCCUUGAUAGAAGUGUUGAUCUUGAUCUUGAUAGGCGAGGGACUUGUGGAAUCGAUGCAAACCCUGUAUCUGAUUUUGAGCGUAGCGAAGGCUCAGAGGAGACCAAGCCAAUGGAGGAAGACUCGGAGGAGACGGAGUCAACAAACUGAAGUAACUUCCUUAAUCUGUUACAAUGUGGUGCACUCUUCAAACUACAGCGAUAUUCUGAACCCUGUGAUCAAGAACAACUACCAGUUAUUCAUGGUCGAAAGGUUAAUUUUGGCAGGUGCAACAACUUUUGUGAAGAC